rnacentral:lncRNA from 1 species
AAUGUAAUACAUUAUUAUUUUAAAUUUUUAGUGUGCAAGAACGAAAUUACAGCAAUUCAUUGUCAUUGUCGUAAAUGAAACAGGUUAUGUUCUGAUUUUUUGAAAGAGCCUAAUGGAAAAUAGUGUUAAAGUGUUUUCUACAUAAGAAAAAAAAAACGAACCUUUUAUAAUAUUUAAUAUUAGUAACGAUAUUUAGUAACAGUAGUAUUCAUUAGUGAGUUUAACUCGGAUCUCUUUAUCAUAAGACAAAGAGAAGGGAAAAAGUGUUCGAACGUGUAAUUAUUCGUCCGUUAAUGGUAUAGUUUGUAUGUGUAUCGUACAGGUGAAGUAGUUCGAAGAAGCAGCAUCCAAAGUAGUAAUCCUUCAUCCUAAGUAUCAUGCUGAGUUUCUGAUCCUUGUCGACGAGCCCUUUGCAUGCAGCCCACAUGAGUGGUGACCAGCAAGACUGAUCGCUUCUAUGUAAAAUAAUAACAUCGAUUCACUCCCCGAGUCACGCAUGGAUUUCACGUUCAUUGACCAGGGAAAACGUAUCAUUAGAUCGCGGAAAUUAGUGGUUGAGAGGAGGAACGCGAAGGAUGUCUGUAUGUGGUGCAAAAACACGUUGAGAAAGAAAUCGAUUGAAUCCGCUGGUUGUAUUGCUGAAAAAAUACAUGGAAAUCCUGUUUGUUUCAAACGGAUAACGUGCUUCCAUUGAAGUCACAAAAAUUAUUUAAAGAGGCGAAGAAAGGAUUACAAAAUUCACUACAUUUAUAUAUUCGCCGUAACAAUUCACCUUAAAAUUACACGAAGCUGCAUAUUCGUCUGAUCAUUCCAAUUCAAUUUUCUCACGCGGGAAGCCAGGUGGUCGACGAGGAAGCGAGAAGAUAAAGAAGAA